GGAUUUGGUAGUUUCAAGCAUUUAAAACUAUCUGAAUAUCCCGAGUUAAAAGAGUUCUGGUAUGGUCAACUUGAGCAUAACGCAUAUAGGAGUUUGAAGCAUCUAGUGGUUCAUAAAUGUGGUUUUUUAUCCGAUGUGCUCUUUCAACCUAACUUGCUAGAAGUGCUGAUGAACCUGAAAGAAUUAGAUGUGGAGGAUUGUAAUUCAUUAGAAGCAGUUUUUGAUUUGAAAGAUGAAUUUGCCAAAGAAAUUGUUGUCCAGAAUUCUAGUCAACUCAAGAAAUUAAAACUAUCUAAUCUUCCAAAACUGAGGCAUGUAUGGAAGGAGGAUCCACAUAACACUAUGAGGUUUCAAAAUUUAAGUGAUGUAUCCGUUGUGGGAUGCAAUAGCUUGAUAAGCCUCUUUCCACUUUCAGUAGCUAGAGAUUUGAUGCAACUUCAAAGUCUUCAAGUAAUUAAAUGUGGGAUUCAAGAAAUUGUUGCCAAGGAAGAAGGAACAGAUGAGAUGGUUAAAUUUGUGUUUCCUCAUUUGACAUUCAUUAAACUUAAUAAUUUGACCAAACUUAAGGCAUUCUUUGUUGGGGUCCAUUCUCUUCAAUGCAAAUCAUUGAAAACAAUUAAUUUGUUUGGAUGUCCAAAAAUAGAGCUAUUUAAGGCAGAGACUUUGAGACACCAAGAAAGUUCCAGAAAUGAUGUGCUCAAUAUCUCAACAUAUCAACCUCUUUUUGUGAAUGAAGACGUGAGGGUAGUAUUAUAAAUGCACAGAAAAAAAUUUCAAUGUUAUGUUCAUUUGAAGAUAAUAAUUGAUAAUUUACUUUGGAGUUAUUAUUCUACUUAGCACAGAUAGAACACUUUUUAAUAAUUGAUAAUAAUUAAUUUGUUUUGUUUGAAUUUGGUUUUUGCAACAGGUACUUGCCAAUGUGGAGAGUUUGUCUUUGAACAAAAAAGAUUUUGGCAUGAUAUUGAAGAGCCAAUAUUCGAGGGUUCAAUUCAACAACAUCAAACACAUUACCGUUUGUGAGUUUUACAAUGAAGAAGCAACUUUUCCAUAUUGGUUCUUGAAAGAUGUUCCUAAUUUAGAAACCUUGUUGGUCGAAUGGAGUUCCUUCANGUUGUAACUCAUAUUACAGUUACUUAGUUAUGAUGCUUUAUGGACAUCUUAAUAUUACUUUGUGUGCUAAUAUAUUGCCUAGUUUGUAAUUUGAUUAAUUUCAUAAAAUAAAAUUUUCAAAUGAUAUAGCAUCAAGAAUGUGAUGUGUACAUUAAUUGCAAUGAAAUGCGUACGGUAACAAAUUUAUACCAACAAAUGAUAGGUCUCGGCAAGUUUUUAGUGACGGAAAUGUUUGUAGGUAAAAACCAUUUGCAGUUCUAUACCUACGUCCAAAUCUGUAGGUAAAAAGUUUUUGUAUUUCUAAUUAAGUUCUAUACCUACGCCAAAAAUCCGUAGGUAAAACAUAAUUGUUUUCUCCAACGGCUUUAGAUUCCGUAACUAUAGGCUGUAGCGACGGCUCAAAUCCGUAGGUAUAACACCAGUAUCCACCACGAAAAAAAUUGCCGUAGGUAUAGGUAAUUUGGCAUACACCUACGGUAAAAGGAUAUUUACCUAUGGUUUUCGGCUGUCACUAAAUGUCAAGUUUCUUGUAGUGAAGAAGGGAUCUAAUAGCGUUGAAGUUUCCGCAAACACACCAAUUGUCUUCUUAGUUAUUAUUAAUAAUGUCACCCAAAUGUAACCACAGAGCUUGCCUACCAAUGGGAUCACAUGGUGCAUACACAUUGGCAAUAAAAAACUCACAACCACUUUUGACAAAGCGACCGUGAAUAAUAAGUGAACUAGCCAACAUCCUGCUGUCCCACACCUCCGCUUCCGAGGUAUCCCAUAGAGUUAAAAUACUGCCUGAAACUUCAACAGAUGGCUUAAAAGAGAAUCCAAAAGUAAGCAGCAGACCCCCAAAGAGAGGUACAAAGUCAUCAAUAUUUUCGAGUUUAGUUUCUUGAAUACACAGAACCCAAGGUUGAUGAGACCGAACCAACUUCAAAACAUCCUUCUGCUUCUCCCAACCACCCAGACCACAAUCAUUAUAUGAGAUAAUAUGCAUAAUAACGAAAAAACACCCCAAAAACCACACCACAACAAAACUAACGGUCUUUCAAAUUGGCUAUAUGCCUAGCCUGGUUGUCAAUUUUUUCUUCUCGUAACGUUUAAGUAACUGAAUCAAUACAUGACGGUCUUCAGCAUGCAUUCUACCUUUUAAAGCUGCAGAACGGUUAGAUGGUUGAAGUUUCGGAGUUGGAGAAUUAAUUGUGUUGUCAGCCAAUUUGAUGUGGUUAUUGAUCCAUUUAGUGCUCUACGGUCCAGUGAUGGGCGGUUGUAUUUUUUCUGCCGAAGAAGGAUUAGUGGAAAUAACAUGGGUGGUGAGGUGAGAGGAUUUGGGCAAUAUAGGAGAGCCAACCAAAUGAAGAGAUAAUGGUAAAGUAACGUGAGCAUGAUUUUGUGAUUGGUUUGGUGGCACUUUAUCAAGACAUCCUGCAGUAGAAGAGUUAGAAGUAGAUACAAGUUUGACAACUGGACAUCCCUUGGCAAGUGGUGGUAGCUUGGACUCCAAAGAAGCAUUAUGAACUAAGGAGUCAAUGAUAUGUUCAUGUUCAGGUACUUCAUCCGGAUUUGAAAAUUCUGAAGUUGAGUCCGAUUCAAGAUCCUCAAAAAAAACAUCAGCCGAGAGACCGAGCUCUAAUUCUUCGACAAUUUUAACUUUACAUAGCUUGUCAUCAAGUUGAUUUCCUCCAAAGUAGUGAUAGAAAUAGGGAUUCGAGCAAAUUCUAAUCGUUCAAGAUUUGCAGUGCUCAAAUCAAUUUUUAAAAGUCUACCAAACAUCGAAGAGGCAUAAGUUGAAAAACUGAGUGGUCCAAGCAUGCAAAGGGAUGCCAUAUAGUCGCAACCACGCCCCCCUUUCAUAUUUUAAUUCAUCAUUCUUGGACCAAGGAAAAAGGCCCGAAAAAAAUAAAUUAAAGAAUUCAGACGCAUCCGUAGUAACAGUCCUGAUAUUUUCCGUGCCGGAGCAAGUCAGGAACACAUUAUCAGCACCCAUUGGUAUAACUCUGACAUUCUCAAACCCCACCCACAUCUUUAAUUUUCUGCUGGACUAAAAAAACAUGCUCUCCAUUCAAGACUCUUGCAAUAGCCCCCCAUACUCGCCCAUUCAAAAACUUGUUUAUCAGAUGAAAAUUUCCGGACAUACUUCUUCCCCCAAAAAACAUUUGCAGAAUUAUUCAAUUUCCAACAAUAACAUCAGCAAAAGAGGCACCUAUCUCAUAAUUCGCAGCUUCAACAUUAACCACAUGUUUUUGCCAUUAGCGAUUUCUAGUCUAACUCGUUCACACUCAGACUGACUAGCACGGUCUUCUUCUUUCACCAACUCAAAUACCUCUUUCCUUAAACGAGAAAUAGAUAUCUUGUCUUGUAAUUUUUCAACUCCCUCAAUAAUAUUUUUUUUUCUCCCUCAAUAUGAUUCUUAACUCCCUUAACAUGCUUACUUUUUCCUCCCUCGUAAUGGUUAUUACUAACACCACCAAACCUAUUGAAACAUGCAAUGGCAGCCCAAACCUUAAGAUGACCAAAGACAACAUUGUUUAGAGCCUUAUUUAAUUUAGCAACAUCUCUAACAUGAGUGAAACGCACGAAACCAAACAAUUGACCUCUUUUAUUUCUAAAACGUGAAACAAAAAGAUUCGUUAAGAUACCGCAGACCUCAAACCCUUGUCUCGUAUUCAGAUAAUGAAUAUGAUCAGGUAUAUUGGUAAAAUAGAAAGUAGCCAUUGUCAGAAUACCUUGAGAACCAGCAGACUUCUUUGAGGAAUGACGCAGAUGUUGCUGAUGAAAGUGUGACGUUAAUGCGGCUUACAGGUCCUUGACCUGCCACGUGAUUGAAACCCAUAUCUUGAGCUGUGAUCAUAAUUGUUGUUGCGGUAGCAGAUAGGAAUGCUAUAGUAGCAGCGAUUAGGGCUUCUGCCAUGAUCAUCAAAAUAGCGCACACCACUUGCACAUGAACAGGACCUGUGGAGAUGUUCACGUUGCGGCUUAAGGGUCGUUGUGUCAUAGAAAAGAACAAGAGUUUAAACAUCACAAGAUCUAUACUUAUAAUUUUAAUCAAAAUCUAACUAAUUUUCAUGAAAAUAUAAAUUUUAUAAAAAAAUGAUGAUAAUGUAUAUGUGUUAGUGCAAUAAAAAGAACUGAGAAACGGUUAAAAAAGUAUAUACUAGUGUUAGCCCGUCCACUGUUUUUUUAUUUUUUAGAGGGAAGCCCGUCCAAUGCUAGUAUAUAUAAAGUACGUCAAUUGAAAGACAAAUUAGCAUUUAGAUAAAUAAAAUGAUAUUUUAAAUUAUCAUUUUGGGAGAAAAAAUGUAGGUGGUUAUUUAUAAAACAAAACACCAUAGAAGUAGUUUAAUACGUGAACUUAUAAAUAGCAUACUUUUAGGCUUGUUAACAAAAUAAUGUUGAGAAACUAAAAGUCGUAUUAUAGGUGAUUGCAUCCUAUAUAUAGAGCACUAGCUACAAACAAUCUACCCAAUAACUACCAUCUACAAAUAUUUCUUUUGACAUGACUAAUUUUAAAAGUUAUCAUUAAAGAAAAUUAUUAUUAUCCUUAAUUUUAAAAUGAAUAGAAUUGUUAAAUUGAGUUUUACAUUAAUUAGUGUAUAAUAUACUAUUUUGUAAAUGCAUUAUAUUUUACAGCUACGUUUGUUGAACUAACUCACAAUACAAUUGUUUUAACAGGUGGGAUUUGGUAGUUUCAAGCAUUUAAAACUGUCUGAAUAUCCUGACCUUAAAGAGUUCUGGUAUGGUCGACUUGAGCAUAAAGCAUUUAGGAGUUUGAAGCAUCUAGUGGUUCAUAAAUGUGAUUUUUUUUAUCCGAUGUGCUCUUUCAACCUAACUUGGUAGGAGUACUGAUGAACUUGGAAGAAUUAGAUGUGAAGGAUUGUAAUUCAUUAGAAGCAGUUUUUGAUUUGAAAGGUGAAUUCACAGAAGAAAUUGCUGUGCAGAAUUCUACUCAAUUGAAAAAAUUAAAACUAUUCAAU
rnacentral:lncRNA from 1 species